rnacentral:rRNA from 1 species
GACGAACGCUGGCGGCGUGCUUAACACAUGCAAGUCGAGCGGUAAGGCCCUUUCGGGGGUACACGAGCGGCGAACGGGUGAGUAACACGUGGGUGACCUGCCCUCAGCUCUGGGAUAAGCCUGGGAAACCGGGUCUAAUACCGGAUAUGACUCCAUGACGCAUGUUGUGGGGUGGAAAGCCUUGUGCGGCUGAGGAUGGGCCCGCGGCCUAUCAGCUUGUUGGUGGGGUGAUGGCCUACCAAGGCGACGACGGGUAGCCGGCCUGAGAGGGCGACCGGCCACACUGGGACUCAGACACGGCCCAGACUCCUACGGGAGGCAGCAGUGGGGAAUCUUGCGCAAUGGGCGAAAGCCUGACGCAGCGACGCCGCGUGAGGGAUGACGGCCUGU